CCUACGGGAGGCAGCAGUAGGGAACUUCCACAAUGGGCGCAAGCCUGAUGGAGCAACGCCGCGUGAGUGAAGAAGGUUUUCGGAUCGUAAAGCUCUGUUGUUGGUGAAGAAGGAUAGAGGUAGUAACUGGCCUUUAUUUGACGGUAAUCAACCAGAAAGUCACGGCUAACUACGUGCCAGCAGCCGCGGUAAU
rnacentral:rRNA from 1 species